rnacentral:lncRNA from 1 species
UAAAGGUUCAUUACAUUCAGUUAUAUACACAUUAGUGCCAGCUCAUCACUAUUCUAACUAACUAGAUGCAAAUGAAAUUACAGUUAGAAAUGAAAUGCAAAUGCAAAUACUUCUAAUUAGUUAACUUGCUCUUUUUCUUCAUAUGUUGAUACCCCCUCGCAAACUGGUGGUUGGUAGAUAUCUACCAUCCCUAGUUUGAGCAUGCAUGCAUGAAAUUGUCGUGGACCAGAAGCCUUGGUAAACAUGUCAGCUGUUUGAUGUUGGGAGGUGACUGGUAACAAACGCAUAACUCCAGCUUGAAUCUUUUCACGUACUAGAUGACAAUCAAUGUCUAAGUGCUUGGUGCGUUCAUGAAACACUGGAUUAGCUGAUAUGUGAAGUGCACUCUGGUUAUCACAGUAGAGUACAGGUAAACGUGAAGGAGCUUGCUUCAAAUCAUGAAGAAUGAAACACAACCAUUGAAGCUCUCUAGUAGCCGAAGCUAAAGCCCUGUAUUCUGCUUCAGCAGAGGAACAUGAAACAGUUGGUUGCUUCUUUGAUUUCCAGGAAACCAAAGACUGGCCAAUGAAGAAACAAUACCCUGAAAUGGAACGACGAGUGUCUACACACCCUCCCCAGUCUGCAUCACUGAAACCAAGCAAUUGAAGCUCAGAGGAUUUAGAGAAAAAUAAACCACGUCCAGGAGAGCGCUUUAAAUAUCUCAAAACUCUAAGAGCUGCUUUGUAAUGCAAUUCAGUUGGAGAAGCCAUGAAUUGACUCAAUUGUUGUGCUGCAAAAGCUAUAUCAGGGCGUGUGGUGGUGAGAUAUAGCAGUCUUCCAACUAAACGUCUAUAACCAGUGACAUCACCAUGAAGAGACCCAGUAUCUUGAGAUAAACGUAUAGAAGGAUCAAGAGGAGUAGAAACUGGUUUGCAACCAGUCAAGCCAGCAUCAUCAAGAAGCUCCAGACAGUAUUUGCGUUGACAGAGAGAAAUGCCUUUUGAGGAACGUGCUACUUCCAAUCCUAAGAAGAAUUUAAGUUCCCCUAAAUUCUUGAUGCGAAAAGCAUUGUUAAGAGCUUGUUUCAAUGAAUCAAACGCCUGCAGACAUGUUCCUGCUAAAAUAAUGUCAUCCACAUAAACCAAAACCACAGUGUAGGAAGUAGCAGUGAUUUUAGUAAAUAAUGUGUGAUCUGCAUUAGCUUGAGUGAAUCCCUGAGCAUAAAGAAACUGAGUAAGCUUCUCAAACCAUUGCCUACUUGCUUGCUUAAGACCAUAAAGGGAUUUCUGGAGCUUGCAAACUUGUCCAGGUUUGGGAGGAGUAACACCUUGAGGGACUUUCAUAUAUACUGCUUCAUGUAAAUCUCCAUGCAAGAAGGCGUUAUUGACAUCAAGUUGAUGCAAAUACCAACCAUGAAUAGAUGCAAGAGCAAGCAAUACCCUAAUGGUGGAUAACUUGGCAACAGGGGAGAAUGUUUCAAAAUAAUCAAGCCCUUCAGUUUGAUUAAAACCUUGAGCAACCAAACGUGCUUUGAAACGUUCUAUGGUACCAUCUGCAUGUCUUUUGAUCUUAUAUACCCAUUUACUACCUAUGGAUACAGCAUCUGAAGGAAGAUCAACAAAUUCCCAAGUAUUAUUUGCAUUAAGAGCCUCUAUCUCUGUCUGCAUAGCAGUUAACCACCUAGAAUCUUUACUAGCUGAAAGAUAACUAGUGGGCUCAAUCUCAGUAUUCAAAGAGUAAGCAUAAGUACGGUGUUUAGGAGAUAAAGCUGAAUAACUAACAAAAUUUGUCAUAGGGUAAUGACCACUUGUUGAAUUACAGACAUAAUUUUGUAAGUAAACUGGUGAUUGAGAACUUCUGGAGGAUUUUCUGGUGGCUACAGGCUCCACUUCAUCAUCCCUUUCUUCAGUAUCAAUAAGUGAAUCUUCAUGAGGAACCUCAUCAUGAUCUUCAGAAGAAUUCACAAUAAUGUCAUUAACAGGCACAAUGUUAGUAACUUGACUAUCAAGGUAAAUAUGUGUAGAGGGAACUGUAGUAACACUAGAGGAAUGGAAAGGAAAUUCCAGAUCAAAAAAUUUCACAUUCCUGGAAACAACUAUUUCAGAAGUAUGGACAUUCACAAGGACAAAACCUUUGAUACCUGACUUGUAUCCUAAGAAAGCACAUUUCUUAGCUCUUGAAUCAAAUUUGUGUCUGUUAACUGGUAAGGUGGAUGCAUAACUCAAGCAUCCAAAAACUUUGAGAUUACUCAAAUCUGGUACUUCACCAUACAACACUUCAUAAGAAGAUUUGUUGUUCAAAAUUUUAGUGGGAAUUCUAUUAAUCAAAUAAACUGCAUGUAAUACAGCAUAUGACCAGAACUUCUUAGGCAAUUUUGACUGGAACAUAAGGGCUCUACUGAUAUUGAGUAUGUGUUGGUGUCUUCUCUCCACUCUCCCAUUUUGUUGUGGAGUAUACACACAACUUCUUUGGUGAAUUAUUCCUUUUUUCAUCAUAGAACUCUUUCAACAUGAAUUCUGGUCCAUUAUCACUUCUAACUUUCUUGACUUUGCAGUCAAAUUGUCUUUCAACCAUAGAAAUAAAACUCUUUACUUUCUGAGAAGCUUCAGAUUUAUUAUUCAUCAUCACAACCCAAAUAUGCCUUGUACAAUCAUCUAAAAUAGUAAGAAAAUAUUUGUGACCAUGGACAGAAGCUGUACCAAAUGGUCCCCAAAUAUCAAAAUGAACAAGCUCAAAAGCAGCUUUAGCAUUCUUAUUACUAACAGGAAAGGGUAAAAUUUUCUGUCUACACAUCUGACAUACAUCACAAGCAGUGUGUGGACUAGUAGAAAUAUAGCUAUACAGCUUAUUCAUACACAUCAUUCUAUCUUUUGAUAGAUGACCAAGUCUGAGAUGCCACAAGAUUCCAUCUGGAACAUGCUCUUUAUUUGAAUUUGCUAAAGCAGCCACAUUAGACACUGAAACUUGAUUGUGCUUCUCAUCAAUCUUCAAGUAGUAUAAACCAUGUCUCUCUUCAGCUAAACCAAUCUUCUUCAAACUGUUCUUUUCCUGUAUUGUACACUCAUUAGCUUCAAAAUGCAAAAUGCAAUUUUGCUCUUUAAUCAACUUUGAAGCAGAAAUAAGAUUCACAGCAAAUUGAGGCAAAUAGAGAACAUUAUCUAUGCUCAAUUCCUGUGAUAAUCUUAUCUGCCCUCUACAAUGUGCUAGUGUAGUAUUUCCAUUUGGUAAAUUUACACUCAUAGGUUCAAUUUUAGUACAAUUACUGAACCAUUUCAAAUCAAAACAUGUAUGAUGUGUAGCUCCUGUAUCUAUAAUCCAUCCAGUAUCAGCAUGCUUAUCAUCAAAAUUAGCAAAACAUGAAUUACCUCCAAUAAAUGAAGAGUAAUUGAUACCUUUCACAACAUUUGCUGAACACUUUGUCUCAAGGUUACUCUUUUCCAAUAGAGACAUCAGAUUCUGAUAUUGAUCCUUAGUAAGAGUGACCCCUGCACUUUCUUCAUUCCUGCUAGUUGAUGCAGUCUGCAUUUUACUCUCUACAUCAUCUCCAUCAAUCAUAUUAGCAUAGGAAUUUCCUCCACCUCUUCCCCAGUUUGGAGGGUAUCCAUGCUUCUUGUAACAAGUUUCCACUGUGUGAUUAGUUCUUUCACAAAAGGUACAAAAUCUUCCAUUACCUCUUCCUCUUCCUUGAGAAGACCCAUUUCCUCUACCUCUGCCAAACUGUUUUUGACCAUUCACUGCAUUUACAAUACUUGUAGUAUCCUCUAAUGGUGUAUUCUGAACAUUGAUAACACCAUAUUGCAUUUUCCUUUCCUGUUGCAUAACCAUUGAAAAAACCCUAUUGAUUGGUGGCAUUGGAUCCAUAAGUAAAACCUGAGAAGCCACUCCUUGAUAUUCCUCAUUCAAUCCAAUUAAGAACUGUAUAGUUCUAUCUUCCAAUCUAAACUCUUUAGCAUACCUCAUAGCAGCACAAGUACAAGUAAUAGGACAGUUACACUGAGGCAUUGGCCUAUAUUGCUCCAAUUCUUCCCAUAGACCCCUCAGUUCAGUAAAGUAAUCUGUGAUUUUAUGAUUGCCUUGCUUCAAAUUAGCAAUUUCUUGAUGCAAUUGAGCAACCCUAAUUCUAUCACCUCUCAUAAAACGAUCUUUCAAAUCAUUCCACAUAUCUAUCGCAUUUUCUAUGAAUACUACACUUUGUGCAAUAGAAGGUGUAAUUGAGUUGAUAAUCCAUGUAUGAACAAGAUUAUUGCAUCUUUCCCAAGCACUUCGAUUCAAUUCAUCAUCAUCAGGAAUGGGGAUAGUACCAUCGACAAAUUUGAACUUGUUCUUCAUAGCUAGAGCUCUUCGCAUCUUCAUAGACCAAGCAUGAUAGUUAUCGCCAUUCAACUGCGGUGUAACACUAACGGUUGAAGAAUUUUCAGAUGGAUGCACAAAAUAUGGAUCAAGACCUUGAUCCUGAUUCUGAUUAUUGUUGUUUCUCACCAUGAUUCACCAAAAAAAAACUCAAAAACUAACAAAAUUGAUUGAAAAAAAAAUCAAAUUGAAAGAAAACGAAUCAAGAUUGAAACUUGAAACGAAGAAGAAACUGCAACAAAAAACCAGAAGAAGAAGAAGAAAAUGAUUCGUGUUCUAAUGGAAGAAACACGUAAUCAAACAGAGGAAAACAGAGUAGUAGCAAUUGCGGAAGCAGAGCAAGCUUGAACUUGCUCUGAUACCAUCAGAGAAGAAUAAACCACCAUGGUUAAGAGAGAAAAAGCUUCAAAUGAAGAAAACUUGUAACUGAUUUUCAUUGACUUGUAAAGGUUCAUUACAUUCAGUUAUAUACACAUUAGUGCCAGCUCAUCACUAUUCUAACUAACUAGAUGCAAAUGAAAUUACAGUUAGAAAUGAAAUGCAAAUGCAAAUACUUCUAAUUAGUUAACUUGCUCUUUUUCUUCAUAUGUUGAUAGAAACUACUGCCCAGAACGCGAAUGCAGUUGAGAAACCAAAAGGUUGAAUAUUCUAAGUGACAGAUCGUAUCGCUACAGCAGUCGAGAUUCUGUUUCGAUGGUAGCGGUGUUGCACACACUGUGCGGUUGUAUUGACAGAUAAAUGAAUAUGAGGAACCUUAGUGAAUAUAUCCGUUUAUAACAUCCAAUAUUUUUGUGACAAAAUUUGAUCUCCCAUUUUGGUUGUCUAUCUUCCCAUGGACAAAAUCAAUAAUUAUCUUUUUCUUGAAGGUUGAAGCCUUUCAUGUUGGCUUAAUGUCAUCAUGGGGAGUACAAUUCAAUGUUGAUGCUGACUUUCUUUCCUUCAUUUUCUUAGCAAAUGAGAUUGAGUUGGUAUGUCGUUUAAUUAAGAUGCAGGGCUACGAAAUUCGGGUUCUAAAAAUGUGGCCAUGAAAAGUAUUUGAGACAAACCAUGGAGUGCCAAAGUGACCAAGUGAUCCAUGUCGUCAUUGCCGGUCUAUUCUCAUACUAAAUUUUGCAGCUAUACAUUAUGUAGAGUAAAAUUGGUAAAAUUUCAGUUUUUUUUUUUUUUUUUUCCGGCAGGUUUAAUGAAACAAAAAUUGUCCCUUAUACUUCUAUUCUAUAAGAAAAUUUGGAUGGUGUUUUUACUUUUACGUUUCCAAGUGUGUUAUUUUAGAAAGUAAGUGUUUUGUGAUCUUUUUAUUGUUUUAUUUAUUCCUAUGUCACUUUCAUUGCAUCAGUACCUUCAGCAUAAGCUAAAGCAAUCUGCAACAUAAAAAUCACAAGAUAAAAACCCGAGUAAAUGAAAUGAUUAAAAUUAGUUGGAACUUUUUCAUUAGCUAAUUAGUUGGAACUUGGAAAGAUGCAAGUUUUUUUUUUCUAUGCAUGUGUGAUGAAUGAUUAAAAUUUGAAUUGCUUGAAUUAGGUUGAACAAUCAUUGAAAAUAUAUAGUUAAAAUAUUAUGUUUCCUUUAAAUUGUGUUGUGUUUAUACAUGUAGUAAGUACUUCCAUUUCAGAACACGAUUUAAGCACUUAUUUUAAAAAUUUAACGAUAGUUUGUGGCUCUUGCAAUCUUCACAAAUGGAUGUCAUGACCUGCUUAAGUUAAAAAUGUGUAUUACUUGAAAAGAAUUAGCUUUAGUAAUGCCUAGUUACUGAUGGAGUCCAUGUGUGUUGUAGUGAGGAGUUUUGUAUGGAUUGAACCUUACUGCUGUGAUAUUGUCUAAGGAUCCAUUUAAUUUAUAAAAAAAUACUCCUUUAUAUGGUAUUCUUCUAUAUGGUGUUAAAUAAAUUAUAUUUGUCUUGACCAAAAAAAAAUAAUAUUAUAUUUGUGUAUGGCAUGAUAUAUAUUCAAGCAUAUACAUAAGCGCAGUAGAAAAAACAGAGGGACUGACACGUGAGUGCCGACUCUAGUUUUAAAUAACCAUGACUUUAUUUACCUCUAAAGAUGAUCACAUCAAUGACCAUAUAAUCAUUAUAUCAGCUGAGCUUUUAACUUUCUUUAAAGUUACAAUAUCAACCCCAUGGACGAAUACAAUAACAUUUAAAUUUGAUGCAUGUAUUUAUCCAAGUUGCACAAUAAAAUGUUGGACAGUCAUUAUUCUCCUUGCAGUCCGGCCUCCAUGCUGUUAUAUAAAAAAAUAAACAAAUAUCAUUUGAUAGGGGUAAACUAUUUUUAAACAAUAAAGGAGUUCAAAACAAUUUCUCAAAAAAAGAAAAGUUCAAAAGAAACAAAAAUGGUUUACCCAUAAUGUUAGUUACAACAAAAAUUAAGAAAAUGAAGAGAAUCAUUAAAUAAUCAAAUUGAAUCAUUUCUGGCAUAUUGAUUCUCCUAAGCCUGCAAUAAAUAGAAAUUUAUUAAUCACUUUAGAUUGUAUCUAACAAAUAGAAAUUUAUUGAUCAAAUUUAAGUUU